rnacentral:rRNA from 1 species
CCCUUAGAUGUUCUGGGCUGCACGCGCGCUACACUGAUGCGCUCAACGAGUUUAUGACCUUGCCCGGAAGGGUUGGGUAAUCUUUUCAAAACGCAUCGUGAUGGGGAUAGAUUAUUGCAAUUAUUAAUCUUCAACGAGGAAUGCCUAGUAAGCGCAAGUCAUCAGCUUGCGUUGAUUACGUCCCUGCCCUUUGUACACACCGCCCGUCGCUCCUACCGAUUGAAUGGUCCGGUGAAGCGUUCGGACCGUGGCCUUUGGACGGUUCGCCGUCUGUUGGCUGCGGGAAGUUCGUUAAACCUUAUCAUUUAGAGGAAGGAGAAGUCGUAACA